AUGGCUACCCGUAUCAAUCAUUUGUAUCUUUUCAUUGCAAUUGUGUGUAUCAUUUCCGUUUUGGCUCAAGGCACAUAUGAAGUGGUUGGAAUAAAAGGAAGAUCUAAUAGAGUUCACUGUUUGAAAGCACCUAAUGUGUGUCCAACUCGAGAACGUCCUACAGGAUGCAUUUUACUUUGUGCAAACAUGGGUUUCAUUUUUGGUGGCACCUGUCAAGGAGACCAAUGUUGCUGCGGAGAAUAG